GUACUGGAGGCACUGCCUGCCCAGUGACAUUAGUUAAACGGCCGCGGUAUCCUGACCGUGCAAAGGUAGCAUAAUCAUUUGUUCCUUAAAUAGGGACUUGUAUGAAUGGCCACACGAGGGCUUUACUGUCUCUUACUUCCAAUCCGUGAAAUUGACCUUCCCGUGAAGAGGCGGGAAUACGACAAUAAGACGAGAAGACCCUGUGGAGCUUUAAUUAAUCGACCCAAAGAGACCUUAAUAACCAACCGACAGGAACAACAGACCUCUGCCAUGGGCCGACAAUUUAGGUUGGGGUGACCUCGGAGAAUAAAACAACCUCCGAGUGAUUUAAAUCUAGACUAACCAGUCGAAAGUAUUACAUCACUUAUUGAUCCAAAGCUUGAUCAACGGAACAAGUUACCCCAGGGAUAACAGCGCAAUCCUAUUUCAGAGUCCAUAUCGACAAUAGGGUUUACGACCUCGAUGUUGGAUCAGGACAUCCCGAUGGUGCAGCAGCUAUCAAAGGUUCGUUUGUUCAACGAUUAAAGUCCUACGUGAUCUGAUUCCAGACCGGA
rnacentral:rRNA from 1 species